rnacentral:rRNA from 1 species
UACGUAGGGGCUAGCGUUAUCCGGAAUUACUGGGCGUAAAGGGUGCGUAGGCGGUCUUUCAAGCCAGAAGUGAAAGGCUACGGCUCAACCGUAGUAAGCCUUUGAAACUGAGAAACUUGAGUGCAGGAGAGGAGAGUAGAAUUCCUAGUGUAGCGGUGAAAUGCGUAGAUAUUGGGAAGAACACCGGUGGCGAAGGCGGCUUUCUGGACUGUAACUGACACUGAGGCACGAAAGCGUGGGGAGCAAACAGGAUUAGAUACCCCGGUAGUCCCUGAGCGGG